rnacentral:rRNA from 1 species
UGGGGAAUAUUGGACAAUGGGGGCAACCCUGAUCCAGCAAUGCCGCGUGUGUGAAGAAGGUCUUCGGAUUGUAAAGCACUUUCGACGGGGACGAUGAUGACGGUACCCGUAGAAGAAGCCCCGGCUAACUUCGUGCCAGCAGCCGCGGUAAUACGAAGGGGGCUAGCGUUGCUCGGAAUGACUGGGCGUAAAGGCGUGUAGGCGGUUUACACAGUCAGAUGUGAAAUCCCCGGGCUUAACCUGGGAGCUGCAUUUGAUACGUGUAGACUAGAGUGUGAGAGAGGGUUGUGGAAUUCCCAGUGUAGAGGUGAAAUUCGUAGAUAUUGGGAAGAACACCGGUGGCGAAGGCGGCAACCUGGCUCAUGACUGACGCUGAGGCGCGAAAGCGUGGGGAG